rnacentral:rRNA from 1 species
AGUGAACGCUGGCGGCAGGCCUAACACAUGCAAGUCGAACGGUAACAGGAAACAGCUUGCUGUUUCGCUGACGAGUGGCGGACGGGUGAGUAAUGUCUGGGAAACUGCCUGAUGUAGGGGGAUAACUACUGGAAACGGUAGCUAAUACCGCAUAACGUCGCAAGACGAAAGAGGGGGACCUUCUGGCCUCUUGCCAUCAUAUGUGCCCAGAUGGGAUUAGCUAGUAGGUGGGGUAACGGCUCACCUAGGCGACGAUCCCUAGCUGGUCUGAGAGGAUGACCAGCCACACUGGAACUGAGACACGGUCCAGACUCCUACGGGAGGCAGCAGUGGGGAAUAUUGCACAAUGGGCGCAAGCCUGAUGCAGCCAUGCCGCGUGUAUGAAGAAGGCCUUCGGGUUGUAAAGUACUUUCAGUGGGGAGGAAGGGAGUAAAGUUAAUACCUUUGCUCAUUGACGUUACCCGAAGAAGAAGCACCGGCUAACUCCGUG